AUAAAAACAAUAACAACAACAACAACAACAAAUAAUAAUAAUAAUAAUAAUAAUAUUAGUGAUAAUGACAAUAGUAAUAAUAAUAAAAAUAAUGGUGAUAAUAAUAACAAUGAUAAUAACAAUUGUAUUAGUGGUGAAAUAGUAGUGACAAUAAUAAUACUAAUAAUAGUAAUAGUUUAGUGGUAAUAAUAAUAAUAGUAACAAGAUAAUAAAAGUUCUAACAACAGCAGCAGUAGCAACAAUAAAAAUAAGGACCUUUUUGUAAAUAUUUCAAAAAUUAUGAGUAUUUCUAUAAAUCAUAUAAAGUAUUGAGAACAUAGAUCAAAAUGCAAAAUAUAAUUGGGGUAACUUAGAUUGAAACUUAAUUCUUAUCAUGGGAAUAAAGUUAUGAUUUCUUAGUCUAACAAAUUUGUGAGUCCCACGUAUUUCAUUUUUAUUCCCCUUAUAUUUUAGCAAGUAAAGAACAUCAAUUAUCCUGAGUGAGUGCAUGCAUUAACGAGUACAUGAUAUCAAACAGUGAAAUCAAACGAAAAUGAUGAUUAUCUUAACAAUUUUUGGCUCAAGUUUGGUAUGGUUGGCUAAUGACUUAUAUGUGUAAUACAAAAUUUGAAACAUCUAUUAGUGGCAAAAUGUGGGUACAUUCUCCAUUAUUUAUCGGAGUAUCUGAUUUGAUUUUGUAGUUGCUUUGUGCUUUCACAUGGACUGUAAGACCCAACUACACUAACCUAGUGCAAAAGAUGGUAACUAGCUAGCUAAUGUUCCCACUAAAACAGAAUAGAAAUUCCCAUUUAAAGUAAAAUCCAACGCAACAACAACUAGCCCACCAAUGGCAACCACUAUCCCAUAAUUGUUCUCCUUCAUCACUUUUUUUUUUCUUUUUCAAUUCUUUAAAUCUUUUUCACUCCACAUCUUCAUAAUUGCCUCUUUACAUAGAAAAGAAAAACUUUUUCCACAGUUCAAGGAUCAUCGAUCACUUCACUAUCUUUUUCUUAUUGCUUGAACAUAAGCACACGCACCUCCUACUAACAAAUAGCGAUGCCCACGAGCUCAAGAACACGGAUGACAUGGGUUUAUAUAAUAUUGAUGCUUGACUUUUAAGUGAUUGUAUUUGCCUAGAAUUUUUGGUGGGGGCAAAAGACACUAUAGCUCUAGGGAUAUGUGUGUAUCAAAAUAUAGUAAAGAUGAAAUAAUGGUGGCAAAAGUGCUUCCACAAUUAUGUAUGUAGGGUUAGCUUAAUUUGGUGGGCAUGCUUUUCAACUUUUGGUCAUUUCUUCUUCCGUUUUCUCAAGUAGUCAAGUGGGGGUGCCUUUGAAAAUCUAGGGUAUUGGUGUCUUGUCUUUCGUCCUUGAUGUUUAACACUCACUUGCGACAAUCAAAAUUGGUUUGUUGGACACCCAAUACCAAUAGGCAUAGGGCACCCAUUUGUGGAAAAAUGAUUUGGCUAGUGUCUGCUUUUUUCUUUUUUUCUUUUAUCUCAUACAUGAUGUAAAUUGUUUUUACUGUUGUCUUAUGAAAAUAUGAAAUCAUUUUCUUUCCAAGUACCAAAUUCAUAAGAAGCUAAGGUUGCGUCUAUGUUGUUCAAUGCUCAUGGCGUAAGAUGUCCCUUCUUUGGUCUAUAUGUAGUCUUGCCCUUAGAUCCUAAUCACUUUAAUCCCACGUUUCAAAAGUUGACACGUUAUUACUCAUUUCAUCACAGACAUGUCAGUUGUGAAGGUUAAAAAAUUUUGUAACUUUUUAUUGUUUUGAUUUGUUUGUCCCUUCAAAUAUUUGAUGUGCCGACAUAUUUGAAUUCACCAAAAUACUUCUUAUCAUG
rnacentral:lncRNA from 1 species